UACGUAGGGGCCUAGCGUUGUCCGGAUUUAUUGGGCGUAAAGAGCUCGUAGGCGGUUUGGUGAGUCGGGUGUGAAAUCUCCACGCUCAACGUGGAGGAGCCACCCGAUACUGCCAUGACUAGAGUCCGGUAGGGGAGUGUGGAAUUCCCGGUGUAGCGGUGAAAUGCGCAGAUAUCAGGAGGAACACCGGUGGCGAAGGCGGUUCUCUGGGCAUUACCUGACGCUGAGGAGCGAAAGUGUGGGGAGCGAACAGG
rnacentral:rRNA from 1 species